rnacentral:rRNA from 1 species
UACGUAGGGUGCAAGCGUUGUCCGGAUUUAUUGGGUUUAAAGAGUGCGUAGGCGGCCCUGUAAGUCAGUGGUGAAAUACUCCAGCUUAACUGGAGGGGUGCCAUUGAUACUGCAGGGCUUGAGUUAAGUUGAGGUAGGCGGAAUUGACGGUGUAGCGGUGAAAUGCUUAGAUAUCGUCAAGAACACCGAUAGUGAAGACAGCUUACUAAACUUUAACUGACGCUGAGGCACGAAAGUGUGGGGAUCAAACAGG